CUCUGCACAUACUGCUGCCCGGCCAUAGAGGGUGACUCCACUUUCUAGAACCAUCUUGAAUCUCACCAUGCAAAAUAUUCUUGGGGAUAUGGUCUCCUCCCAUUCUCUUGUAAUGGCUGAUCCAUCACAAC